rnacentral:lncRNA from 1 species
UGGCUUUAAACAGAAUGACAUGGUCCCAUCAGUGAAGCCCCUGACCUUGUAAUCAAGUGACAAUUGACACAGGAGGCAUAGCAUGGGCUUAUGAGAAGAGCUGAGGCCAGAGCUGUGACAGACAGCAGCGCUGGUGGCCUGGCAAGUGCAGCCUCACAAUCGAACUGUGAGGGUGGUAUUAGUGCUGUGCAGCCCCUUACCAGUAAGAACAGUAAGCUGCUCUCUGGCACCGCAGACUCUGGAAGCCAGCGAACUCAGCUCCAUCCGAGCUCUGUACAGUGAACGCUGAGCUCCAGUCACCAGCAGAUUGAUCUUCAAUUCCACUAAUCCAGAAGAUUCCACAGGAGCCACAUGUGCAUCCACCAGCAGCUGUCAGUGGGCUGUGGGGUUGGCAAGGAACCAUCAGCUGCUUGACCCAAGAGUGUCUUUCUUCAUGUGAGUAACCAUCACAGCAGUCUUGUCCCCAAAGGGAUUUAGCUGUAGAUUAGUUCAUUUCCUGGAUUCCUGGGGUUUCUUUUUUUCUUUAAGGCUACAGCCCCCCAAAGCAUCCAUGCCCUAAUCUUUUUUUUUUUUUUUUUUUUUUUUUUCUUUUUUUAAAAAAAUGUAAAACUGCCCUAAUCUUUUUUUUUUUUUUUUUUUUUUUUUUUUUUUUGCAUUGCUUAAAAGAUGUGAAAACUCUGACUAAGUUUUAUUUUAUUUUAUUUUAUUUUUUUUGUUUUUCUCUGGUACCGGGAACCAAACUCACGACCUUGCGCUUGCCAGGCAGGCGCUUUGCCGCUGAGCUAAAUCCCCAGCCCCUCCAACUAAAUUUUAAAAA